UUAUCGGAGAGUUUGAUCCUGGCUCAGGACGAACGCUGGCGGCGUGCCUAAUACAUGCAAGUCGAGCGGACAGAUGGGAGCUUGCUCCCUGAUGUUAGCGGCGGACGGGUGAGUAACACGUGGGUAACCUGCCUGUAAGACUGGGAUAACUCCGGGAAACCGGGGCUAAUACCGGAUGGUUGUUUGAACCGCAUGGUUCAGACAUAAAAGGUGGCUUCGGCUACCACUUACAGAUGGACCCGCGGCGCAUUAGCUAGUUGGUGAGGUAACGGCUCACCAAGGCGACGAUGCGUAGCCGACCUGAGAGGGUGAUCGGCCACACUGGGACUGAGACACGGCCCCAGACUCCUACGGGAGGCAGCAGUAGGGAAUCUUCCGCAAUGGACGAAAGUCUGACGGAGCAACGCCGCGUGAGUGAUGAAGGUUUUCGGAUCGUAAAGCUCUGUUGUUAGGGAAGAACAAGUGCCGUUCAAAUAGGGCGGCACCUUGACGGUACCUAACCAGAAAGCCACGGCUAACUACGUGCCAGCAGCCGCGGUAAUACGUAGGUGGCAAGCGUUGUCCGGAAUUAUUGGGCGUAAAGGGCUCGCAGGCGGUUUCUUAAGUCUGAUGUGAAAGCCCCCGGCUCAACCGGGGAGGGUCAUUGGAAACUGGGGAACUUGAGUGCAGAAGAGGAGAGUGGAAUUCCACGUGUAGCGGUGAAAUGCGUAGAGAUGUGGAGGAACACCAGUGGCGAAGGCGACUCUCUGGUCUGUAACUGACGCUGAGGAGCGAAAGCGUGGGGAGCGAACAGGAUUAGAUACCCUGGUAGUCCACGCCGUAAACGAUGAGUGCUAAGUGUUAGGGGGUUUCCGCCCCUUAGUGCUGCAGCUAACGCAUUAAGCACUCCGCCUGGGGAGUACGGUCGCAAGACUGAAACUCAAAGGAAUUGACGGGGGCCCGCACAAGCGGUGGAGCAUGUGGUUUAAUUCGAAGCAACGCGAAGAACCUUACCAGGUCUUGACAUCCUCUGACAAUCCUAGAGAUAGGACGUCCCCUUCGGGGGCAGAGUGACAGGUGGUGCAUGGUUGUCGUCAGCUCGUGUCGUGAGAUGUUGGGUUAAGUCCCGCAACGAGCGCAACCCUUGAUCUUAGUUGCCAGCAUUCAGUUGGGCACUCUAAGGUGACUGCCGGUGACAAACCGGAGGAAGGUGGGGAUGACGUCAAAUCAUCAUGCCCCUUAUGACCUGGGCUACACACGUGCUACAAUGGACAGAACAAAGGGCAGCGAAACCGCGAGGUUAAGCCAAUCCCACAAAUCUGUUCUCAGUUCGGAUCGCAGUCUGCAACUCGACUGCGUGAAGCUGGAAUCGCUAGUAAUCGCGGAUCAGCAUGCCGCGGUGAAUACGUUCCCGAGCCUUGUACACACCGCCCGUCACACCACGAGAGUUUGUAACACCCGAAGUCGGUGAGGUAACCUUUAUGGAGCCAGCCGCCGAAGGUGGGACAGAUGAUUGGGGUGAAGUCGUAACAAGGUAGCCGUAUCGGAAGGUGCGGCUGGAUCACCUCCUUU
rnacentral:rRNA from 1 species